rnacentral:lncRNA from 1 species
AUUCUAAGCAUUUGAGAGGCUUAGAUCUCUCCCCCUAGCUCAACAACUAAUUCUCAGCAUGAAUAUCCCCAAUCCCUCCCCAUUACAUUUAUAGGCAACUUAUCACAUCAUUAUUCUCCAAAAUACCCCUGCCCCUACCUGAAUCUAUUUUAAUUGAGUAAGUUUCUCAAUUCUUCUAGAUCCUUCCACAUUGAUAGGAGUCUAUCAUUACUCGCCCUUCGAAAUCCACCUUGUCCUCAAGGUGGGAAUGUGGUUUAACUUCAAAAUUCGAAAUUCCAUAUAACAAAUCCGUUUUUGGAGUUAAGCUUAUUGUACUUGUUAGCUCGUGCAGCUAGUCGUCCACCUACCAUUAAAAUGUUAUUCAUACAAAUUCCAUAAAUGGAACCCACGUAAUAGAAACCUCAUAGCUCGUAGUUUCUGUGGCAUGCGGGCCUAAUUCAUCAACCAGCCCUGUUAAAUUGAAGUGAUGUAUAGCUUCGUAAUCUAUCAAAACUAUUACCGAUUGCUCCAAAAUCGAGCCCCUAAUUUUCAUGGUUUUUGGUGAGGUAAGACCCACAACGGAGUUGAGUGAUAUCUCGACCAGCUCUCCUAGUUUGUGCUCUUCUUCCUCUUGUGACCCAUCUAAUUGAUCAUCCCCGUCACCUCCCCAAACCAAUAAUACUUGUAGCUUUUCAUUCCGGCAUAUGUGACCCAGAUUGUCCUUCUUAUCACAAUAACACUGAUAAGCUCCCGAUAAAAUACACCUAUUCUAGAAACAGCAGGAAGGAGUGAGAAGGUGGAGGUACGAAACAAAUUCGGUUAGGAAGGCAGGAAGCAGUUACGGUAGUCUAUAAAUAGAAAUUGUGUAAGGGGAUGAGGCAUGAAAAUUGUUGAGUGAAAUAGACAGUAAGGAGAGGCAGCCCUCUCGAAUGACUGAAUGUUAAUUUCCCUGUAAUCAUCUUUCAUUUCUGAUCAGUAAAGCAUUUCCGUUCUUCUUCUCUUCUGUUCUAUUAUUUUCAGUUUUGGUUAGAUCUUAUCAAUCUGGUAUCAGAGCACCCCCACAACAACCAUGACUCUGUCCGAUCGAGUAGGAGAAUUAGAGCAAAGAAUAGAAAGCAGGCACCAGAACUUCAUACUGGGUUAGAUUCUCUGAGAAAUGAAUUCAGGUUGAUGCAGGCUGGAAUGAUGGAGAAACUCGAGUUGUUGAUGCGGUCACGGGAUAUUCAAGAAAGGGAGCAUAAGGAAAAAGAAACGGCGAUAGAGAAGUCGCCCAUGGCUUCUGCUGAUUCUGGGUUAACUCGCCUAAGACCCGGUGGAAGUCAAUUCACUGGGGAAGGAUCAGGUGGCGAAUGGCGAGGGGAAACCCGAAUACGGAAAUUGGAGAUGUCAGUGUUUGAAGGAGCUGAUCCUGAUGACUGGGUUUUACGUGUGGAGAGGUACUUCAGUAUCAAUUGCCUCACGGAGGAAGAAAAAGUGGAGGCCGCCGCCGUUUGUUUCGACGGCGAGGCGUUGGCUUGAUUUAAAUGGGAAGAAUGACGUCGGCCUAUGAAAUCGUGGGGAAAGGUGAAAACUCAAUUACUGAGGCGAUUCAGAUCAUCACAAGAGGGGUCCCUUUGCGCACAAUUUCUCUCCCUCCAGCAAAGCUCCACUGUAAGGGAAUAUCGCCGGCGAUUUGAAACGCUGGCAUCGCCUUUGACAGAAGUGUCGGAAGAGAUUCUGGAAUGCAAUUUCCUCAAUGGUCUUAAACCGGGCACCAGGGCAGAAGUCCAGUUACUAAGACCAACGGGCCUUGAGCAAAUGAUGGAGGUGGCCCAAAUGGUAGAAGACCGAAAGCUAAUUAUCCAGUCUAGCCCAUGGACUAAUAGCUCAAUAAAACCCAAAAGCAUACCCUAUCAUAGCCCAAAUCCACGACAACCCACCCAAAUCCAAAAUAAAACCACAGUUCCUUUACGAAUGCAACCUCAGUGCCCAAAUUUCUUCCCCAAAAAUACCCCGACAUUUAAAAGGCUCACAGAUGCCGAAAUCCAAACUAAGAGGGAGAAAGGCUUGUGUUACCGAUGUGAUGACAAAUUUACGAUUGGGCACAAGUGUAAGAAUAAGGAGCUAUAGGUCUUGGUGAUUCGUGAGAUAAAAGAAGGAGAGAUACGGUAGGGAUCAAGGAGGGGCGAACUGAGCUCCGAUCCCGAGGAAACUAUGGGCGAGCUGGUAGUCGAAGAAGAAGAGGAAGGUGGGCUGGGUCAAUCGGUGGAACUGCCCAUAAAUUCUGUUGUGGGGCUCACUACCCCGGGAACCAUGAAAUUGAGGGGGAUGCUCGGUCAGAAAGAAGUGGUGGUGUUGAUUGAUAGUGGGGCCUCACAUAAUUUCAUCUCGUCAGAAGUAGUGCAGCAGUUGGGGCUCCCUUUGUCAGGCACCACAAGCUAUGGUGUUAUAAUGGGUACCGGCUUGACAGUGAAGGAAGAGGGAGUUUGCCAGCAGGUGGCUUUAUGGGUGCAGGGAUUGGUGAUAGAAGAAGACUUUCUACCCUUGGAACUGGGUGGCUCUGACGUGAUUUUAGGGAUGCAAUGGUUACAGAAAUUGGGCAAAACACAAGUGGACUGGAAAACUCUAAUAAUGACCCUCGACGUGGCAGGAACCAAAGUAAUUCUGCAGGGAGAUCCGAGCCUCAGCAAAAUGGUCGUUUCACUAAAAUCAAUGUGGAAAGCUUUUAAGGAGCAAGGGGAAGGACUCCUGUUAGAAUUGGGAAAUAUCAUUGUCGACACAAAUUCCUCAUUAUCUCAUCCACCAACCUUCGUUGCAGAGAUUCUGAAGGAAUUCGGUUUGGCUUUCAAGGAGAUUACCCAGCUGCCUCCCCACAGAAGUCAGGAUCAUGCAAUCAUCUUGAAACCUGGGGCAGGACCAGUUGGUGUACGACCAUACCGGUACCCGCAUUUCCAAAAGAAUGAAAUUGAGCAGUUGGUGCGGGAAAUGCUUGCUGCAGGAAUAAUACAACACAGUACAAGCCCCUUCUCAAGCCCUGUACUCUUGGUCAGGAAGAAGGAUGGGAGUUGGAGGUUUUGUGUGGAUUAUCGGGCGCUAGAUAAGGUCACAGUCCCUAACAAGUUUCCUAUUCCAAUCAUUGACGAAUUACUUGAUGAGUUGAAUGGGGCGACAGUAUUUUCGAAAAUUGAUCUAAAAUUUGGAUACCAUCAAAUCAGGGUCAGGGCAGAGGACAUCCCAAAAACCGCCUUUCGAACCCAUGAAGGCUACUAUGAGUUCCUCGUCAUGCCUUUUGGCUUGACUAGUGCACCAGCCACUUUUCAGUCAAUAAUGAACACUAUCUUUAGAGGCCAGCUCAGAAAGUAUGUUUUGGUAUUUUUUGACGACAUUCUGGUUUAUAGUCGGUCGGAAGCUGAACACAAGGGACAUCUGAGGAAAGUCUUGCAGACUUUAGUAGACAAUCAGUUACAUGCCAAUCGGAAGAAGUGCUCAUUCGGGCAAAAAGAGAUCGAGUACCUCGGACAUAUAAUAUCAGGAAAGGGAGUGGCGGUGGAUGAGUCCAAGGUAGCUGCCAUGAGAGACUGGCCAAGACCGAAGUCCCUGAAGGAAUUGAGAGGAUUCCUAGGACUAACAGGAUAUUAUAGGCACUUUGUAGAAGCCAAUGGAAAAAUAGCAUGGCGCCUGACUCAACAGUUAAAAAAUGAUAAUUUUGGGUGGAAUGAAGCGACAAAGGCUUCUUUCAGGAAAUUGAAAGAGGCUUUGACUUUAGUACCAGUAUUGGCUCUUCCUAAUUUCACACAGCCCUUUGAAAUUGAAACAGAUGCGUCAGGGCAAGGGUUGGGAGUUGUUCUGAUGCAGAAUUGAAGACCCAUUGCUUAUUUCAGCCAAGUUCUACCACCACGUAAUCAAAACAAGUCCUUAUAUGAAAGAGAGCUCAUGGCGAUUGUGUUGUCAGUACAAAAGUGGAGGCAUUAUUUGCUUGGGAGACGUUUUGUGGUACGAACAGAUCAGAGGGCCCUUAAAUUCCUUCUUGAACAGAGAGUGGUAAAUGAUGAAUAUCAAAGGUGGCUGACAAAGUUAUUGGGAUUUGACUUCGACAUUGAAUACAAACCCGGACGGGAAAAUAAAGCAGCUGAUGCAUUGUCUCGGAAAGGGGCAGCCGCUACAUUAAUGGCAUUAAGCAUCCCAAGUACACUACAGCUAGAAGAGGUAAUAAAGACAGUCGAAGAAGACCAGGAUCUGGAGGGCCAUAGUGAUGGCUUUGAAGAAGGACUCCCUUGCCCAUCCAGGUUAUUCCUUAAUUCAGGGUACCUUACUAUACAAAGGACGGAUUGUCUUACCCAAAGCUUCCCUGUUCAUCCUAUUGGCGUUACAAGAAGGUCAUGACAGUAAGGUUGGCGGUCACGAGGGGUUCCUAAAGACAUACAAGAGAGUGGCUGAAACCUUUCAUUGGGUUAGAAUGAAGAAGGAUAUUAGGGCAUAUGUUGCCGCCUGUGAAAUAUGUCAACAGCAUAAAUACUCCACGUUGGCUCUAGCAGGGUUGUUGCAACCCCUUUCUGUACCAGAAAAAAUUUGGGACGACAUUUCCAUGGAUUUCAUAGAAGGGUUACCCAAGUCUGAAGGGUUCGACUCUAUCUUGGUGGUGGUCAAUCGCUUAAGUAAGUAUGCCCAUUUCAUUGGUCGUAAGCAUCCUUUUACAGCUCCAUCCAUCGGUGCAAUUUUUGUUAAGGAAGUAGUCAGGUUGCAUGGAAUUCCGAGGUCGAUAAUUUCCGAUAGGGAUAAAGUAUUCUUGAGUAAAUUCAGGGGACCAAACUGAAACAUAGCUCGACAUAUCACCCGCAAACCGAUGGACAAACGGAAGUAGUGAAUAGAGGGGUUGAGACCUACUUACGUUGUUUCACUUCCACACGGCCAAAAGAGUGGUAUCGUUGUCUUCCUUGGGCUGAAUUUUCUUACAACACCUUCUUCCACGUGUCCUCAGGUAUGACCCCUUUUCGCAUUAAUUAUGGGCGGGAUCUUCCCUUCUUAUUGCGGUUUGAAAAGGGAACAACAGUGGUAUCCUCACUGGAUCAACAAUUGGCCGAUCGGGAUAAACUAUUGGAUGACCUCAAGCUUCACUUACAUCAGGCUCAGCAACAAAUGAAGAAUAUGGCUGACAGGAAGCGGCGAGCAGUGGAGUUCUCAGUGGGGGACUUGGUCUACUUAAAGAUGAGACCUUACCGUCGCAAAUCCUUGGCUCAACGUAGUAAUGAAAAAUUGGCUCCCAGGUAUUAUGGGCCUUUUAAAAUCUUGGCUAAGGUUGGGGAAGUUGCAUAUCGACUGGAACUGCCAAUGGGGACACAGAUUCAUCCAGUCUUCAUGUUUCACAAUUACGCAAGGCCAUAGGAGAACACCAUUUGCCUUCCCAGUUACCUCCCAGUCUUAGAGCCGACUGGGAACUAAUGGUAGAGCCAGAAGCUGUGUUGGGGGUGAGGACUAAUGCCCAGAAGACAUCAACAAAGUUAGAAGUGCAGAUUCAAUGGAAGGGUUGUCACCAUUGGAAGCUACUUGGGAACCAUUCAGUCUCAUUUCCAAGCAAUUUCCUACCUUCCACCUUAAGGACAAGGUGGUGGAAUUGGGGAAGGGGGGGGGGGGGAAAUUGAUAAGCCUAAAAUACACCUAUUCUAGAAAGAGCAGGAAGGAGCGAGAAGGAAGCCUUCGAUAAAAUACACCUAUUCUAGAAAGAGCAGGAAAGAGCGAGAAGGUGGGGGUAUGUAAUAAAUUCGGUUAGGAAGGCAGGAAGCAGUUACGGUAGUCUAUAAAUAGAAAUUGUGUAAGGGGAGUGAGGCAUGAAAAUUGUUGAGUGAAAUAGACAGUGAGGAGAGGCAGCCCUCUCGAAUGGCUGAAUAUUAAUUUCCCUGUAAUCAUCUUUCAUUUCUGAUCAGUAAAGCAUUUCCGUUCUUCUUCUCUUCUGUUCUAUUAUUUUCAGUUCUGGUUAGAUAUUAUCAAACACACCCUCUUAUCCUUUUGCAUCUGUAGCUCUACCUUUGUCAGCUUUUUGAAGGGUGUUGUACCUUGGGUCACCGUCGUCGGACAUAUUAUAGAGAUCGUUGCUACCUUUUGAAGGGGGGUACUUUUAAAAAUGGUGUUGUCAAAGGAGGGAAAUUUCAUUUUGACUUGUUGAAUUCUUAAAAUUAUGACAAUAGCCUAUUGAGUGUUAAAAGACAAAAAUGUCGUUUAGUGUAUUAUGCAAUUACAAAAGAAAGUUUUGUUAAAAAGACAUUAUUACCAUUUUGUUAACAAAUAAAAACCAAACACUUCCCAUUUAAAAUAUCAAAAUCAGCAAAUUUCUCAUAUCUGUUUACUCCAACACAGAUAAAAAUAUUUUCAUCUUUCAUCUGCUAAAAGCUCAAAAUUUGAAAAAUUUAUCGAACACAGUAGCGUGAAAAUUUUUGUUAAACUAUUUUACAUUUGUAUAUAUAAAAUUUAUUUCGACAUAUAUAUUAUGUAGAUAGUUUUAUUAAUAGAUCUAUGAAAAAUUUUAAGCCUUUGACGAGAAAAAAUUCAUCUGCAUUAAUACUGAAAAAUUAAUCUGCAAAAGUUUGGUGUGUUUAUUCUACCGGACAGCGAAUUUGAACUGUCCAUUGUCUAGUUAACAGUUGAAAUAAUUCGGCUAGACAGCCGAAAAAUUUAACAGCUUACAAAACAGUCGGCUGCUGUUUUAAAUUUUUUCUCCUAUUUCGUUCGAUAUUUUCUUGCAAUUAAAAAUUCUUUUUCGUCACGCAGAUAUGACUGUAGUCCCAGUUUGUUAUUUUGGUGAUUUCAAAUUGGACAAAAGAGAUCGAUGGGUAUGGAAAUGGAUGAGUGAUAAACGUGGUGAUAUCCCAAUUUCCGUAACAGAAACAACAACAUAUGCAGAAUUCUAUAAUUUUUUACAGAACAAGCUAAAUGUCGAUCUCUCUUAAUAUGACAUGAAAUUGAAAUUUAAAUUCAGUGAUCAUGAAGUCCGAGUCCACCUAUGACGAUUUCUUCUAAUAUCGAAGUGAAUUAUCUGUUUGAAAUAAACAAUAGACACUCGACUCCUGUUUGCGUGACUUUAGUGAGGAAGGAUGUCGUUGAAGGUGAACAAGUAGACUCAGAUGGAGGGGAUAACAAUGUUAAUGAUUUUUGGGAUAUGGUCCAUAUAACACGUGAAGAUGAUGCGGUUAUUCUAGAGGUAGUUUGUCACAGAAUUCCGUCCGUGGUUCACGACAAUGAGUGUGGAAAUGUAAAUACUUUUACAGACAAAGAUUUGAUCGCUUUAACCUGACAAAGAUAUGAGCGGGGUGAGACCUCAGGGGCUGAAUCGAGUGGACCGUCUUUAACUCCUCCCGUGUGGUUUCCAACAGUGAGGAUUUGUAUGUCGAGCAAUUGUUUAAAACGAAAAAAGAUUUGCAGGAAGCUAUGCACCUAAUUGCGCUAGAAUACAACUUUGAGUUUAAAGUGAAAAAAUCGAAUAAGUCGUUGACAAUUGCUUGCAUAGACGACAGUUGCUGUUGGCAUUUGCGAGCGACGAAGAUGAACCCGAAUGAGUGUUUUGUAGUUCGCAAGUACACAUGGAAGCACUUGUGAAGUGGGAUUACGUCGAAAUAAUCACAGGCAAGCCCCGAGCUUGGUUUAUUGGUCGACAGAUAAUGCACAAGUAUCACGAUCCUCGUACGAUCUACAGAUCAUCGGACGUCAUUAACGACGUCCGUCGAUAGUACGGAGUAAUCUUGAGCUACUAGAAGGCCUGGAAGGCCAAGGAAUGUGCAUUUGAGGAUUUAAUGGGCUUUGCAAAGGAAAACUAUGCUAAAUUGGCCAAGUAUUGCCAUAACAUGGAGAAAACUAAUCCUGGCUCGAAAUUUUUUAUUGACACGGAGGGUGGGAAUUGCUUCAAAUUCUUCUUCAUGACUCUUAGACAAUGCAUUCGGGGAUUUUAAAAUGCAAUGCGACCCCUAAUUCUAGUUGAUGGUACAACACUGAAAUCUAAAUGUCAAGGCAGGUCGAUUAUUGCUACAUGUCAAGAUGUCAACAUCAAAAUUUAUCCUCUUGCAUUUGGCAUAGUCGAUAGUGAGAAUGACCUGUCGAUGCGGUGGUUCUUCAUAAAGUUAAGGGAAGUAAUCGGGGAAGUCGAGGACCUUACAUUUGUAACAGAUCAGGGACAGUCUUUAAUAAAUGGUAUCGCUGAAGUUUUUCCAGAUGCCCAUCAUGGGUAUUACAUGUAUCAUAUUCAAGGCAAUUUGAAGACCAGGUAUCGAGGCAAAGAUAUUGUUUCAUUAUUCAGGAGAGCGGCUGAAGUCUACAGUGUUGAAGAGUGUAAUAAGUUCAUGGUUGAAAUAGGAAGUAAAUCAUUCGAUGUAUGAGAUUAUCCAACGAAAAUGGGGAUUGAACAUUGGGCGCACUCGUUUUUACCAGGAUGUCGAUACAAUAUGAUGACGUCAAACAACGCGGAAUAUCUCAAUGCAUUAUUCAAGAAGGAUCGAGAAUUACCCAUUCUUGCACUUAUUGAGAAUAUUCGUACCAAGCUACAACAGUGGUUUCACGAUCGACGUGUGAAAUUACAGAAUUGCACGAGCGUGCUAGCCCCGAUGCAAGAGGAAAAGCUAUUCAAAGCUAUAGAACUUGUUAGACAGUUGAAUGUCGAACCACUAGACGAGUCGAGCUUCUCAGUGAAAUGUGCACGAAUACGACAUACAUGGUGGACUUGACUGAUAACACAUGCAGUUGUAAAAAAUUUCAGCUGUAGGCUUUUCCGUGUGAGCAUGCAGUCGCGGUUGCUAUGUAUCGAUGAUUUGCAGCUAGAACAUUGUGCUCUCAUUACUACACGAUUGAUUAUUGGAGAGCUGCGUACGCUGAGACAAUAUUUCCUUUGCCGAACGAAGCUGAGUGGGAAGUGUCCGACCGUAUUUGCCCACUCAAUACAUUGUUGCCAUCUCUCAUUGAAUAGCAUGGUCCUGGACGUCCAAGUACGUCUAGAAUACCAUCUACCGGAGAAUUUCCUCGACCACGUAGGUGCAGUCGGUGCAAAUCAGUAGGGCAUACUCGUCAAUAUUGUACAAGUCAUGUUCAUCUAAAUGAUAGAUCAUUUGGUAAUGAUUUCCAUCUGAAUUAAACAGUAUUUGCAUUUAUUAUACCAUAACAAAUUAAUUGCCGUCAUAGUUAAUAAUCAUUUCAUAAUCCAUCACAGUGUGUUACAAACAUUUCGUAAGUACAACAAAUCAAUAUUUACAGUGUUCACAAUUAUUUCGUAAUUACAAAAAAUUACAACUAAUAAUUACAAUAAAUCUAUGGAUCACCAUUAAAAUAGAAUAAGUCGCACGCCAACUUAUUCCGCCAACUCUAUAUCCAGGAUUGGUUGAUUCCAUCAACCUUACAUGCUAUACUUAGAAAUUUGAUGUACUUUAUUGCAAAAAUGCCACAAUCGUCCCUGCAAAUGAACAAAAAUAAGUUCGAUCAGUACCGUGUAGCAAAAAAAAUUAAGUAUUAAAUUUUAAAAAAUUUAGAACCACUUACGAUAUUGUCUGCCUCGUUGUAGUUGUGUUCCGCAUGAUGGCUAAUCUGCCCUUCAUAGUCAAUCCCGUCGGUCUAGUUAUCAUAGGGAUAAAAACAGCAAUGGGCUCCAAAUUUUGCUCGAGCUGACCCUGUGUUAGACAUGAAUGAUCGGGGUCGUAUAUGUAUAUAGUAGACUCAGUGAAUACAAUCUCCAAGGUCAUGCAGUGAUGAUUCACGAUCACUGGUAUGUACAUAUUUGUACAACCCUCUCAUGACUUCCCCCCGACAUGUGGGCACAUCCAUAUGGUCUACUCGAGCAUGUAGUCGAGUACCGCGUAUUCCUUGCCGACAUGUUGGAGCGAAUGGUACUCAAAUGUCAACGCUUCUUCCGAACUCCAAAUUGAGUAUGACUCUGCCAAGACUGUCAAAUGAGCUCGGAUAUCUUUGAACCCGAUCACGCAACAAGUCCAUGGCCAGGUCGAUGUGCUGUAUUAAAAAAUAGUAAUUCAAAAUGAAGUUAUUUCAUUGCAUAAACAAACUAUGAUGUGCAAGUCAUAAAAAUUAACAGUAUGACUACUUCACUUACAUCGUCAGCAAGCCAGGCUCCUGAAGUGAUGAUGUCGUGGAACCACUUAUAAGUAUCGGAUAUCGUCACAGUACCGAUCGUACGGCUGGUCCUAACAAAAGAAACAGAGAAAUGUUAAAAAAGCGUAUACGUGUAACGAUCACUGGUAUGUAUUAAUAUCACUAAUAUCAUGAAUACUAACCCGGGCAACAUUCUUUUCCAUCCGUCUCGAAUGCUUUCUACUCGACAUGGUCCACCUCCCGAAAUGGGUGGGGAUCAUCCCAUCGACGAACCUCCUCUUCUUUGUCUCAGCCGUGAAGGGAGAGACAAUGUACUGUGACGGCACUCUCAGCCUCUUGCCUAUUACCAGCUCUGGUAAGUCAACAUCACGCUUUUUCGGCCCAGUCACGGCCAUUGUCCUCCCCUUGCCCACCUUGGGCAUCGUCUCCUCCUCCGUCCCCGACGAUCGCCACCUCCUUCACACUCUCCUCCUCCUCCUCCUUUCCCGUCAUCACCACCUCCUCAACCGUCGCUCUCAUCCCCGAGGGGCCCACCACCUCAUCUACUCGUGUUAACACCACGCCCUCGACCCCCUUAUCCGCCAUCGUCGGCACCACCUCCUCGACCGUCGCUCCCGUCCCCAACAGGGCCACCCCCUCCUUUGACCUUGGGGCUAUCCCCUCUUCCGCCCUCGAGUCCACCCUAUCCUCUAUAGACCGAAAAAAGAAGUCCCAUGCAUCCUCCAACCACAACUGUGGAUGACCCCCAUCUCUAUUCUCUCGAUCACCCCCCGGUCGUCACCUUCGUCAACCCAUCGUCUGCCUGCUAUAUUACCUUGAAGUGCUACACCUUAUCAUGAAGGUCCCUUAAAUGCGCACACAGCACUCUAAUAUCAUCAGCUAUAUCCUUGACCCUCCCUACCAACUGACGUCCCAGAUCGUUGACUCGCUCCUCCAUAUCUCGAUGCAGCGUCGACCUCCUCUGAUAUAACUCCAUCAGCCUUCGACGCAGCGCGCCUACCUCCCCUGAUAUAACUUCUCCUAGCUCUCGACGUAGCGCAUUGACCUCCCCCGAUAUAACUCCUGCCAGCUCUCGACGCAGCGUGCCGACCUCCUGCACCAUAAAUCCAGUCCGGCGAUGGUACAGAUCAUCAGAAUAAUCACUUUGAGGGGGAGGAAGUGACGCCGGUGGCGGAGGUGAUGCCCGAUCAACUGGCUCGUGGUCCUGCACAAACUUACAUAUUAUUAACUUAUUCAAUAAUUGCUAACUCAUACAAAAUAUUAAUCAAUAAUUCACUUAACCAGUCUCGAUCGGGGAUCUAAUCGGAUAUCUGGUCGUCCUGGGCAUGCGAAAUCGCUACUUCACGCACGAGACCCUACGCCUCCUCUAUCGACGACGUCAAAUGAGUGAUUACUUCAAGUUGAUAUAUUGACAUUUUAAAAAGAUAAAAUCAUGUAAUGUUACACUAUGUACAAUAUAAAUCACAAAUUUAUAAUACUCACAUAAUGGUCGUCGAAGAGAGCCGAUAAUUGUUCCCCAGUGGGACAUCUCUCCAUUUGAGAUACUCAUCAAUGGUGCAUCCGAUGGCAGCGUGUCUCCUCUCGCUGCGCAAAGCGGGUACCCAAUAUAAGGAUGGUCUCAUAUGCCCAAACCUAAAACACAUAAAUUAGUACAUACAAAUUCAAUAGAAAAAAUAUUUUAACAUUGAUUGCGUUAAUCAUUUACCUGUAGCGCCAGGGGAAUCCGUACAUAUCGUACUUACACACAGGCCCUUUGGGCUUCGAGUGCGGUCUGAUGAAGAUGUGGACGGUGUUCUCGAAACAUCGACGGCUCCACGGAUAGCUGUUGAAGCGAUCUAUGUCGUCGACGAUCUCGAGGUGAAAGAGGUCGAUCACAGUCUUUUUGUGGUGACAUCGCAUCACGCUCUCAAUGAUGUAGACCAGACCUAAUUUCAGUCUGUCCAACAUCUCGUCACACCUAAUCGCGUCCAUCAGCUGAGGCAAAACCACUGUCCCCUGUCCAUGGAAGUAAGUGUCUUGCAGCCUAUUUCUUCCCUGAGUCCCGCUGCUAGCUGCCUCAUCGCCCGUAAUCUUCAAUCCAGUUAGCAGGGCAAACUCGAACAUGGAAAAGCUAGCGACUUUGCCCCCGAGGUCGAAGUGGAGGGCAUCGCCGUCAACUGGACUUAGCAGCCGACAUAAAAGAGUAUCGAUCAUUUGACCCGAAUACUGCAACUCUCUUAUAGGUUAUAGAGGCCACAGAAAGGAUUGACACAGCAUAUCUGCAUACUGGUCGUCCAGUAGCUCCAAGACAUGGGCAAAGCUGUCAAAGUUACCGUUGUCUAGCAUCUGUCUCAGCUCUGCAUCCAAAUGAUAAUCCAUCUUGCAAAAAUUGAAGUAGAAUAUUAGAACAUUGUACAUGAAAUAAUGCAAUGAAGCAUAAUAACCCAAAAUUAAGUGAACCGAAUUUUUAACCGUAUUUUUAAAAUCACAAAUAUCUUUACAUUAAAAUUAUAACUAAAAUGAAAUUUUAAAUUUAAAAUAAAAAAUUAUAAUUAAUUAAAAAUUAGAAUUAAAAAUUUAAUUUGAAAUUAAUUUUAAAAUAACAAAUUUCUUUACAUUAAAAUUAUAUAAAAUGAAAAUUUAAAAUAAAAAUAAAAUAAAAAAUAAAUUAAAAUAAAAAAGUCAAAAUUCGGAUUAAAUAAUUAAUUUGAAAAUAAAUUCUAAAUUAACAAAUUUCUUUAAAUUAGAAUUUAAAUUUAAAUUUAAAAUAAAAUAAAAUUAAAACUAAAAUUAAAUUUAAAAUUAGAAUUAAAAUUUUAUUUUGAAAUUAAUUUUAAAAUAACAAAUUUCUUUACAUUAAAAUUAUAUAAAAUGAAAAUUUAAAUUUAAAAUAAAAUAAAAAUUAAAAAUUAAAUUAAAAUUAAAAAGUCAAAAUUCGGAUUAAAUAAUUAAUUUGAAAAUAAAUUCUAAAUUAACAAAUUUCUUUAAAUUAAAUUAAAAUUUAAAUGAAAAUUUAAAUUUAAAAUAAAAUAAAAAUAAAACUUAAAUUAAAUUUUAAAAAAAUUAAAAAUUAGAAUUCAAAAUUUAUUUUGAAAUUAAUUUUAAAAUAAAAAAUUUCUUUACAUUGAAAUUAUAAUUAAAAAAUGUAAAUUUAAAAUAAAAUAAAAAUAAAACUUAAAUUAAAUUUUAAAAAAAUUAAAAAUUAGAAUUCAAAAUUUAUUUUGAAAUUAAUUUUAAAAUAAAAAAUUUCUUUACAUUGAAAUUAUAAUUAAAAAAUGUAAAUUUAAAAUAAAAUUACAAUUACAAUUAAAUUUAACAUAAAAAGUUGAAAUUGGAAUUAAAAAUGUAAUUUCAAAAUUAAUUUUAAAAUAACAAAUUUCUUUAAAUUAAAAUUAAAAUUAUAACUAAAAUGAAAAUUUAAAUUUAAAAUAAAAUUAAAAUUAAAAUUAAAAAGUCAAAAUUAUGAUUAAAUAAUUAAUUUGAAAAUAAUUUCUAAAUUAACAAAUUUCUUUAAAUUAAAAUUAAAAUGAAAAUUGAAAUUCAAAUUCAAAUUAAAAUAAAAAAUUAAAAUUAGAAUUAAAAAUUUAUUUUGAAAUUUAUUUUAAAAUAACAAAUUUCUUUACAUUAAAAUUAUAAUUAAAAGAAAUGUAAAUUUAAAAUAAAAUUACAAUUACAAUUAAAUUUAACUUAAAAAGUUGAAAUUAGAAUUAAAAAGGUAAUUUGAAAAUUAAUUUUAAAAUAAUCAAUUUCUUUAAAUUAAAAUUAUAACUAAAAUGAAAAUUUAUAUUUCAAAUAAAAUAAAAAAUUAUAAUUAAAAAGUCAAAAUUCAGAUUAAAUAAUUAAUUUCAAAAUAAAUUCUAAAUUAAAAAAUUUCUUUAAAUUAAUUUAGGAAUUCUAAUAUUAAAAAAAAAAAACCGGUUGAUAGUCGGUCGGCAACAACAAAAAAUCCACCUCUACUCUUCGGAUUCCACCAUUUCCGGCGAGCUCGAGCUCCCCAAACACCAAAAAUUGGCGAACACACUUCAUCUAUACGCAAAUCUACCCUAAAUCAUGCAUUUCAUAUCACAAAAAUCAUAUUCCAACCAAUAAUCUAACUAAAACUCAACAAAAGCCAAUAAUCUAAUUAUAAUUCCACAAAAACUAACAUUUACAACUCUUAAAAGCCGACAACCGAAAGUUCUUUGGUGAGAGAGAUGUCUGGACGGCCGACUGUCAGUGGAUCUGAUUUUUUCUUUCCAAACCGUCGACAGAGAGAGAUGAAGAUGGAGGGAUAUUUUUGGAAAAGUAUCUUUAAAUUGUGUUUUCGUUUUUUUUUUUUUUAAAAUCAGUCAAAGGCCAAAGUGGAAAUAAGGGCGGGUCAAAUGGCCAUUUUCACUUAGUUCCUCUUUUGAAGGAUCAGGUGGGCUUGAGGAGGAUUCUGGAGAUAUGGGUUGGAUGUGUGAAUUGGACUGUAUGCCUUAAUUUUAUCCAUAGUUGGGCUGUAAUUUGCUUGGUCCGUAAGUUUAUAUGCUUGAUUAAUUCAUCUAUACUUCUUCCCCCUUGAUUAAGUUUAGGGAAAAUUUCAUAACUAAGAAAUUAAUUAUGGCACAUUUCAAAAACAAGAAAACAAGUUUGAAAUUUCUAAAAUCAGGUUUUUAUUAAAAAUUAUUUAUAAUUUAAUUAGUUAAUUAAUUAUUUUAUUAAUUAAAUAUAUUUAGGUCACAGAUCUAUGCAAUUUGAUCACAAAUUAACAAUAUAAUUAGUUACAUAUUAUUUUUUGGUCACAAAUCAAAAAUUUUAUGUCACAAAUUUUUUUACGAUCACAUUUCAAAAAAUUUGUUUAUUGGUCACAAAUUCAAAAAUAAUUAGUCACGGAUUAAUUUUUAGUCACGAUUUAUCAUAUUAUUGGUCACAACUUAUUUUUCGGUCACAAAUUAAAAAUUUUAUAGGUCAUAUAUUAUUUUUCGAUCACGAAUCAAAAAUUUUAUUGGUCACAGAUUAAUUUUUCGGUCACAACUCAAUAAAUUAUAAGUCACAAACACAUUUUAUAGGUCACAGAUUAAUUUUUCGGUCACAACUCAAUAAAUUAUAAGUCACAAAGACAAAUUUUAUAGGUCACAUAUUAUUUUCGAUUACGAAUCAAAAAUUUUAUAGGUCACGAAAUCAAAAUUGUUAUUGGUCACAUCUAAUUUGGUCGCAAAUUAACAAUUUAAUUGGUCACUUAUUAUUUUUUGGUCACGAAUAAGAAAUUUUGUCACAAAUUAUUUUACGAUCACAAUUCAAAAAUUUUGUAGGUCAUAGCUCGUUCAUCGAUCACAAAUCAAAAAAUUUAUGAGUCACGAUUAAUUUUUAGUCACAACUUAUCAAAUUAUUGGUCACAGCUCGUUCAUCGAUCACAAAUCAAAAAUUUUAUGGGUCACGAAUAAAAAAUUUAUAAGUCACAGAUCACAAAUAUUAUAGGUCACAACUUAAAAAACAGUCACAAAUUAUUAAUUUUUUAGAUCACACAAUAUUUCUUGGUCACGAUUUUUUUUUCAUUGGUCACAUAUUGUUUAUUAGUCACAGAUUAACUAAUUCGCUGGUUACAUUCGAUCAAAUAAUCUGUGACCACCAUCAACAUUUGCGACAACCACCGCCACCAUCAAGGCAGAACCGCUACCACCACCACCACCACCCAUCAACAACACCACUGUCAAACGAAUCAACAUAUCCACCUCAAUAGACCACAACCACCAAUAGUUCACCGUCAUUGCCGCACCCACUGUCGUCUACCGCCACGACCACCGUACCACACAACACCACCACCAACACAACCAAAACCACCAUGACUACCGCACCGCCCCCACGAACACCACCACCAUCGCACCGCCCCCUCCAAAAAAAAUCCCCAAUCUGCCACUGGACUCUACCACCAUCCCACCGCCCGUAUCAACACCUCCACUCAACCACAACACCAUCACAUACAACCCACCACAAACACAUCACCACCACCACGCACAACCACCGCCCACAGUACACACACAAUGCUACCACAUUACAAGCCCACGACACUGCACAACCACAACACACAGCACAAUAGUCAAUCACGACCAAAUCCACCGCCGCAGCCCACCGUCCAACAACCAUUUAGCAAAAAUUUUAAAAAAAACCCACUGAUUGGUGCUUUGGUGAAGCUUGAAUACGUCGCGAAUCCUCACGACGACGAUUGUCUGCAUUAUCUGGCCAGCGAUUGACGCUUCUUCUGGUCGGGGAUGCCGUGGGUGGUGAUGGCACAGUGGGUGAUUGGGGCAAGGGAGAGAAGACGGUAAGAGAGAGAGUGAAAAUGGUUGGGGACUGCGAACUGGAGAGAGGGUAAUACGAGAGAGAAAAUGAUAGGGUUUGGGAUAAAAAAAAUGUUUAUUUAAUAUUAAUAUUUAAAUAUAUUAAUAUCUGAUUUUAAAAAGAUUAAAGUUCCCAUCUGGUUUCAAAAUUCAUGAUUUUAAUGGUAAGGUUUUGUGUAAUUACCACUUAAGUUUAUAUGCUUCAUUAAUUCAUCUAUACUUCUUCCCCCUUGGGCCAAAUCCAUAAUACAGCCCAAAUCAUGACGUUGCAGCCUUCUAUCAUCAGCCUGUGGAAUGGGUUUAAACCCAUUAACAAAAUUGCUUCGGUGAAACUCCUCUGGUGAUGUCGAGAAAGGGGUGACCAGAUUUUCGAACAACUUCCGGUAACCCCUGUGAUUUCGGCAAUCUGUAGUAGCUCCGAUUUCCCUAGAAUUGGUUGGAGUUCCAGAAUAUAAGGUGUCUUCAGAUGAGUUUGCUUCCUGUCCUUUCUCCUUCCAUUCCCGUCCCUGUCCUUCCCGUUCCGGCACCAUCAUCUCACUUUUCUCCAUUAGAAUUUCCAAAUCCCAUCGAUACUUGCCAAAAAAUUCGUCCUCCUAGGAUGGUCGAAAUUCAUCUAUGUCUUCAAAAAUUGUCGGCUCUGAUGAGUUCUCUGCGAUCUCUUUCUCUUUCCCCUCCCUUUCCGGCUCAGCCAUGGAUUUCUUCUCCUGGCUCGACCAAUUCACAGUGACCCGUCUCACCUCUGACCUCUUCUCCUCCUCCAGCAAUGGUGAUGGCUACGUAACCUCAUCCAAUUGACCACGUUCAGCAAUCGUUAUCUCCUCGUGUACCAUACUUCUGUGCUUUCCUGCUGGCAAUUCUUCAUCACUGGAGAGCUCAUUCAUGCUAAAUCGAGCCAACAUCAGUCCCUUCAAUUCAUUCCAUGUUCGCACCGAUCGUUGUUGAUCUACCUCCUGAAACCAUUUCCAUGUUUCCUAGUCAAAACAGGAUGUUGCUGCUUCUAUUUUCUCUGCCUCCAGCAAUUGGUUUAUGGAGAAAAUAUCCUCCGCCCUAGAGAUCCACCGCUUGGCAUUAUCACCGUAGAAUAUGGAGAUUAUGAGUCGCCCUUGUGAAUCCAAACCUAACUCCUCUUCUCGGUCUCUCUCUUCUGGUUGCCUUGUCAUCUUUUCCAAUCGAUUCAAUAUCGAGCCCCAGCUCUCUUCCAUUUCCUUGCUGAAAUUUGUUGGCAUUGCACUAAAAUCGUUCCUUAGAUACCAAUUGAUAGGAUACCGCUUGAAAGAACAAGUUCAAAUAUUGAAUGAGUGACUUUUUUAUUAAAAAGGCGGACGAUUACAGAAAUUGAAGAACAAUUCUAAGCAUUCGAUCUCUCCCCCUAGAUCAACAACUAAUUCUCAGCAUGAAUAUCCCCAAUCCCUCCACAUUACAUUUAUAGGCAACUUAUCACAUCAUUAUUCUCCAAAAUACCCCUGCCCUUAUCUGAAUCUAUUUUAAUUGAAUAAGCUUCUCAAUUCUUCUAGAUCCUUCCACGUUGAUAGGAGUCUAUCACUUUUCCUUUCUAUAAUAUCGAAAUGUGC